UCUUUUUUCGUUAUUAAUUUUUUAAAAGAAAAAGAUAAGGAGAGAGGAAAAAGAGAAGAAAUUAACUUGGGGAAGAAGUCAGUUUUAUAUAACACUGAAGCCAAAACCACUAUUUUCUCCCGUCUCCCAGCUCUUUGAUUCCUCUGCAUCGGUGCGAGCUCAUCUUUUCAUCGCUUAGGGAUUUCGCUAAUAUCUGAGAUAUGGAUCUUAACAAACUCUAUCUAAAUGCCCCUCAUUCCAUGGGCACGACCAUCAUCUGCGUCACUUACAACGGAGGAGUUGUUCUCGGAGCCGACUCUCGGACCAGCACUGGCUGCAAAGGGGUGGUACUGCGGUUUAACGUUGGCUGGGUAGGGGUUAUCAGCAAGGGGAAAAGAAUCUCAAGCUCACCAAGAGAGGUGGUUCCUUUCUCUUUGCCAGGAGCUACAUGACGAAUGAAAGGGGUUUGAGUUCAUAGAGAAAGCUCGGGAAGACGAGAGAGAGAGAUUUGUGUGAAGUGAAAUUAAUAUGGGGAAAAUAUCCCUACCACAACAUCAUGAUCACAAAUCCUUCAAAAUACUAAAAUACCCUCCUUCAAACCGAUGCAAAUAUAAAGAAUCCAAAGGCCACCUUGACGUAGGCUGGCACCCUUGAAAAUGGACUCUCUGACCUUUGUUAGGGAACAAUUGUAAGUCUAAUAUUUUAGACCUAUUGGUAGAUAAGCUUAAAAUUGAUGGUCUGAUCUGUACAUACGCACCAUAUUGCUGCUGCAUAGCUAAUUGAAAUAAUUUUUCCUCAUGCAUUAAUUCAUAUUUAUCAGAUACACCUACCCUUUUAGAAAACAACUAUACAUACGUACACUUAAAUCUUUUUUUUUUCUUCGCAUCGUAUGUACACUUAAAUCUUUGUAUAUAUAUAUGCAUAUAUGAUAUUUUAAAUAAUAAAAGCUGGCAGGGUAGAGCAAUUUGUUUGGUACAUAUAGUUAAUCCCAAUAAUAAAAUUUUUAUUCUAAUUAGAUGAUUAAAUAAUUUAAUUCUUAAAAAAUUAUUUUAAAAAAUUAUGAAACACCAGCUUCAUUGACAUGUGUUGAGGAUGAGCUCAGCGAGAGGGUGAAAUGGUGGCAAGUGGCAAGUCAGUUUGGUGAGUUAUGUAUGUACUACUAAUCCUAUCCUUUCUAGUUUUCUUUUGAGUAAAACUAAAUAGGUGUAAAGUUAUAAACUUGUCAUUUUCAAGGUGCUUUACAGCUUGCAUGAUGGUGAUAUCUUGGCAGGGAUAUUUUUUGUUCAAAUCAGUUUUACGCCCACAAAAACUUCUCUCAUUGUCUAAUUCUGAUUUCACUUCCUAUAUGCAUAUAUGAUAUUUAUAAUAAUAAAAGCUGGCAGGGCAGAGCAAUUUGUUUGGUACAUAUAGUUAAUCCCAAUAAUAAAAUUUUUAUUCUAAUUAGAUGAUUAAAUAAUUUAAUUCUUAAAAAAUUAUUUUAAAAAAUUAUGAAACACCAGCUUCUUUGACAUGUGUUGAGGAUGAGCUCAGCGAGAGGGUGAAAUGGUGGCAAGUGGCAAGUCAGUUUGGCCAGUCCUCCCUUUGUUAAUGGUGGAACAUCUUGUAUGCUCACUACAUGCGUCAUCCAACCCAUUGAUAUGAUCAAGGUGAGGAUUCAAUUGGGUUAGGGAUCAGCAGCCCAAGUGGCGAGGACCAUGCUUAAGGAGGAGGGCUUUGGUGCCUUUUACAAGCUUCCAUUCCAAUGCAAUAGCUGGCACACGUAUAGAAGGGAAAAAAUAAGAAGAAAUGGGACUGUAGUCUUUCAAAAUUGUAACUUAUUAUAAUGUUUUGUCAUUAUAAUUUAUAGGAAAAGACAAUAGUAUCCCUGCCUAAUUAAUUUGGCACUAUUUUUCUUCAAAAAUUUGAGUUAUUAUAUUAAUGGAAUUCAAACAGACAACACAUUUGGUCACUAA